UCCCUGGUAGUAUAUUGGUUAGUACACGCCCCUGUCAUAUGGCUAGAAACACCUUGGAUGACGCGCGAAAGCUGGGUUCGACUCCCAGCCAGGGAG